rfam:Thauera sp. 63 Cont56, whole genome shotgun sequence.
GGGGGUAUAGCUCAGUUGGUAGAGCAGUUGACUCUUAAUCAAUUGGUCCUAGGUUCGAGUCCUAGUGCCCCCA